GCACCUGGGGGUAGGGCACCAGUGGGCAGAGUGUCCUGCUGCUCAUGGUUUCCACCCUUUGUCCAG
ensembl:miRNA Mir6910 microRNA 6910